AACUCAAUUGGAGACGGUUUGAUCUCAAUCGGACGGCGGCUCCUUCUCGCCCUUUGUGGUCCCGCCUUUGGACCCGCGGACUGCAUGACCCCGCACGGUUCUUUACAUCCAGUCGUCCGUUGGCAAUCAGACGGCAUGGCUUACACAUUUCUCCCUCCCGUCAGAAUUACGCGAGUCUCUCUCAUUUGAGGCUGAGGAGUCGAAUUUCGGAGUUGUUCGGCGUAAAUCCCUACACUCUUCAAUCACCGUGAUUUACCGUCUGGGCAGGCCGGCGGGGGCGCUGGGGCGAGGGCUUCGCCUUUUUGCCACUUGAUUGCUUUCCGGCGACGAUUGUGGUGGAUUUGAAGGGCUGCGACAUUCUGGCUUCCGGAAGCCAGAUGAUGCCUGUCCCCCGGACAGCUGGAGGCGAUGUUGACUGAAGUCGCUGAAUGCCGAGGAGAGGAGAGUCCAUCGGAAAGUAGACCGAACCUGGGAGGGAGAAAAAAGGAGAAGAAAAGGGUUAGAAUGCGUAACCGCUUCGACGCUCAGGAUUCGGCGGGAGAUAUGGAGAAAAGCGGAGAAGAUGAGCGAUAAUAAGGUGAAAAAUGAAAGCAUGCCUCCGUCCGCAAGUGUGGACCUCUUUUAUAACACUGGAUAUCUCUCUUCUCUGUAUUAAUAACGUUUUAAUUGUUAAUGUGAUGCAUAUCAUAUUGCGAUAAAAGAAGUAUCACACCCGUAUCUACUAGUACUAUACGGAUCAAGAUAUGGGGCAUAUCAUAUUGUGAUACUCACAUGCUUCGACAACCUAUAUGUCUUAGCGCAGGCUAGUUCAUAAGGCCCUUGGGCUAUAAGAUAAUUGGACUGAAGGUUGAAGACCUGUUAAGUGGAAGAGUCAGACUAACAUGGCUAAACAGAGAUAAGCAGAGCGGGUCAUCCAGUGCAAGUGGUGUGCUCCCGAUCGGUGAGACCGACCGGGGGAUAACCGAUCGAGGAAUAAUUAAACGCAUCCGAUCAAUGGGACUGUCCGGGGGAGAUUUGGAACUGCUUCGAUCAGUGGGACCGACUAAGGAAAGGCAAAGCGUGUCCAAUUAAUGGGACAGAUCGAGGAGAGGUGGAGCUCAUUCGAUCAAUGGUACCGAUUGGGAAAAAGCGAAGGGAUUUGAUCAAUGGGACCAAUUGGGGAGAAGCAGAUGGCUCCUGACUAGUGGGACCAAUCGAGGAGUAACGGAGCUCCUCCGAUCACUAGGACCGACCGGGGAGUAUCACAAUGCAGCUCAUCCUAUUGGGGCUAAAGAUGACUACCCGAAUGGAUCUACUGUUGAUUUAUCUUAACUUUGACCUCUAUCUAAGUAUGAUGCUUGACCCUUGGGGACAUGUGGAGGCUUCCCAUAUUCACCGUAUCAAUGCGCUUCCAAAUAGCAGGCCAAUAUAUGUAUGGCAAGGCAAUUUGCCCGUCUUUAGUUGUGAAAUAUACCAUCGGAAGAAUGCUUCUUCAAGCAGAGUUCAGUUUAGCCAGGAAACGUCAUCACCACUUGCUCAACAUUAAUUGUUCAAUUGUACUCCUUUACGCUCAUGAUACUAAUCCCAUCUUUGUUCUAUACUACCACUGGGAUGUACAACCAUGGGAUAUUGGGCUUCUAAGCCACCCAUCAUGAGUACUUCUUCAUUUAUCCUAGUAGUUGAUGUGAAAUUCAAAAUCAGUCAUCUCAGGUUCGAUGUUAUCUAAUUCAUUAUUUAUUUUUAAUACUGCCACUGCUUCUACUUCCACUUUCCAUCUCUUGGAUUCUUGUGCCUCAACAUAGAGCAACUUAGGAUGUCAAAUCAAUUUGAUAUAGUAAACUUGAUUCAAAUAAACGAAAUAAGUUUUUUUUAUUACCACAGUUUAGCAUAAGUUACCUAUCAUUUCUCUAUAUUAGAAGAACAUAAACUAGCAUAAUUCAUCUGACUUUAAUAACUCUCGUUAAUCCCAACUGUCUCAUUUACUAUUUGCAUUUAUGGGAUUUCAAUCCAAAGUAAACGUUCUCUUUAAAUGUUUUCAACCACUCUAUGGCUUGCUAGCUAGCUGAGACAUACUUGAUCUAAACCGUUUGUGGGUUUUUAAAUUAUCUGGAUUACAUGUUCAUUUAUCUUUCUACUGCUCAUCAUCUACUUUGUGUUAGAAUAUUUUGGAUUUGCUAAAUUUUGUCCAGAGCACCC